rnacentral:lncRNA from 1 species
AGGCCCAGCCUCCCUUGAAGAGAUCUCCUGAAGAUUAGCCUUUCUUGGUGGAAGAGUUGCCUUGGGGCCACACACCGUCCUCUGAACACACCUGGAAGGCUUUUGGAGUAAGCAAGGGAGAUGUCAGAAGCCAGCAGGGCACUUGGGAUGAACUGAUUGACCUAACAUGGACAUGUGACCUGGAGGGGCACUCCCCAUUGGGCAGGAGUAGCCAAUCAAGGUCUUCCUUCAGAGAGUCCGGAAUUGACGUCGGCAGAUGGCUUGGGAACCAAUGGGGUCUCGCCCAGAGAAUGCGCACAGCCGGUGCGCCGUGGCUCUCGGACGCUAGGUGGCGCUGUCUGCAGCUCAGCGUCCUCGCCCCGCCGGGCUUGAGGUGCAGCCGCGCCUGCAGGGGGUUUCAGCAGGGGCGUCAGCAGUGAUGCGUGCCGUCCUUCCCCAGGCCUGGCUAAAAAGGAGGAAGGAAGAACACAUUCCCAAGGGAAAAGAGACACUGCGAGAAUCACAGACCAACCGGUUGCGGGAAAACUGCGGGGAGAAAGAAAUUUACUUGCAAAAAAAUGGUGAAGGGCAAAUAAA